UCGCCGCCCCAGCUCGUGGCGCGGGGAGGCAGCGCCUGGCCCGAGCCUCUGGGUCCUGACGGACUGUUGCUGUCCCUUGUACGAACGACCCGGACAGCCGCGCGGGCCGCGGGGUCACCCUCCGCCUGAGACCGCGGAUCAGGGUGCACUCGCCUCCCGAAGCCCCCAGCCCGCCAGGGGGCGCUAAGCCGGGCAUCGAGGGGGCUAUCGCGGCUGCCUCCCGCGUCUCGGGCUGGGGGCACGUCCCCUCCUCUUCCUGGGCCCCCGCAUCCUCGUCUGGGGAUGGGAUGAGGUGUCCAGGGAGUGCCCCCUGGAUCCUGGUUGUUCUAUAGGACACUUGCGGUGGGCCGCCCUGACCUGCCCUACCCCUUGCUUGGGGCCUUGAGCGUAGCGGGCCCCACCAGGCGCAGAGCCUUUGGAGAGCGAUCGGUCCCCUCCUCGAAGCUGGCCCGAGCUACCCUGCCUGCAGCGGGCCCGGAGAGGCGGCCGCCUGGGCUGUGCACAGGCGGGCACCGCGAGUGCCGCACCUCAGUCCCGAUCCACCAACAGGUGGUCAUAGGCCUGGGCUGUGGAGGGCUCUGGAAAGCCUGCCGCUGUGACCAGGCCAAGCCGGCCGGGACUUGAGGGACCUCCCCUAUCCCGACGCUCUGCGGGCACCGUGAGCCAAGGUCGAUUGUCCGCGCGGCGCGCAAGGUCCGCACGGGCAGGUUCCGAAGCCUCCAGUCGCGCAGCUCACGGAGCGGACCCUGCCAACCAGAGACACCGAGCGACGGCUUCAAGGUUACCUGCGGGGCGGGGCGACGCCGGGCUGGCCACCCGACUUUGACCCAAGCCUCGAGGCUUUCGAGAGACGCCUGCUCGGCUGCGGGCGCGGCGCGAGGUCACCCGGGUUGUUUUGGAAGUGGGAAGAAUGGGUGGGGGGCACUCGGGAUCCCUCCCGCUAACCCCCUGGAGCCGGACCCUGAGCGCCCAGGGCCAAGAGGGACACCGAGGCACUUCAGCCCCAGGGGCGGGAGGCGUGGAGUUCGUGCGCUAGCUCAGCCAGAUGUUCCGGGCGGUUCCAGAUGUGCCGCGGGGCCGGCGACAGGACUCUCCUCCUCCCCAGCCCCAGCCUGGAGCUCAGACACUGAGCCCCUUCAGCAAGGGACUGUACCUCCUUCUCUUCCCCAGCCUAACUGUGGACCUGAAUCAGGGUUAGGCUGA
rnacentral:lncRNA from 13 species